UACGGAGGGAGCUAGCGUUGUUCGGAAUUACUGGGCGUAAAGCGCGCGUAGGCGGCUUUGUAAGUUAGAGGUGAAAGCCCGGGGCUCAACCCCGGAACUGCCUUUAAAACUGCAUCGCUUGAAUCCGGGAGAGGUGAGUGGAAUUCCGAGUGUAGAGGUGAAAUUCGUAGAUAUUCGGAAGAACACCAGUGGCGAAGGCGGCUCACUGGACCGGCAUUGACGCUGAGGUGCGAAAGCGUGGG
rnacentral:rRNA from 1 species